UGGUGGAGUGAUUUGUCUGCUUAAUUGCGAUAACGAACGAGACCUUAACCUGCUAAAUAGAUAGGCAAACUUUGGUUUGUUCUAGCUUCUUAGAGGGACUGACAACAUCUAGUUGUCGGAAGUUUGAGGCAAUAACA
rnacentral:rRNA from 1 species